UGCCCACUGUACAUUACACCACUUGAUACGAAAACUGAGGAGCAAACUACCCUUUUGGUUUACAUUCUCAGCAGCCGCCCAUCUCCUUCCCCAACCGCCACUCUCAACAUUCUUUCUUCUUCAAGGAGAAGAUAAGAACUGCUAAACUCCCCCAACCGCCACUCUCAACCGACUCGUAGUUUGCUGCUUUUUUAAAAAUUCAGGGAUUCAACUGGGGACUGAUUGUGAGGAAUAAAUGUGAAAGAAUAUUGAAGCUGCUGGAGAAAGGCCCUGAUCUGAAAGAAGAAAGGGACAGGGCCCGGAAAGUUUCAAGAGGGAUUCAAGGAUUUGGCAGCUUCUGCCACAGGGAUUCAUCCGCUGGGCAUGAUGUAUUGCCAGAAUCAUCCCAGAAAGCAUUUGGGAGAUGCAAUUCAGAGUUCAACCAGAAAAUCAAGUAUCUAAGCCCGGACAGUUCCAAUAUUGGUGCGGAUUCCAGAGAAAAUUUGGCUCCAAAUGAAGAAAGCGGGAACUUCACUGGGGAAUCGAAGCCGCUGUUGGAACAGCAGAAAGAUGAGGCAGUCGUCCUCUUAGGCAGCCACCUCCGCUGUUUUCUGCAACCGCCGCCAUCUGGCCUCGGUCAAUUAUUUGUUAAGUGGAUCCCCAUUUGGUGAUUGAUAGUGGUAACCAAACUUGAGACGGCAAACCAUCAGACUAUUGGCCUUGAAUUGGUUAAUGCUAGUGAAGAUGAUCCCGACAAGUAUUAGCCAAAUGAUACAGUCGUCGGCUUGUGUUUCACAAUGACACACACAAGAGCUUUGCAGUUUCUUUUUUGGGACAUCGACAUCCAUUAUCUUUAGAACAAAUUUGGCCUAUUGUAAAUAAGAAUUCUUUGUUUGUAGUACUUUUGGAAAAAGCCUGUGUUUAGACUUGAGGAUCAAGUUCCUCUUUUUAUUUUAUAUUAAAAUUACCUAUUGAAAAUUCCUUCAA